rnacentral:rRNA from 1 species
CCUACGGGGGGCAGCAGUGAGGAAUAUUGGUCAAUGGGCGCGAGCCUGAACCAGCCAAGUCGCGUGAGGGAAGACGGUCCUAUGGAUUGUAAACCUCUUUUGUCGGGGAGCAAAAGACGCCACGCGUGGCGUUCCGAGAGUACCCGAAGAAAAAGCAUCGGCUAACUCCGUGCCAGCAGCCGCGGUAAUACGGAGGAUGCGAGCGUUAUCCGGAUUUAUUGGGUUUAAAGGGUGCGCAGGCGGAAGAUGAAGUCAGCGGUAAAAUUGGGAGGCUCAACCUCUUCGAGCCGUUGAAACUGGCUGUCUUGAGUGAGCGAGAAGUAUGCGGAAUGCGUGGUGUAGCGGUGAAAUGCAUAGAUAUCACGCAGAACUCCGAUUGCGAAGGCAGCAUACCGGCGCUCAACUGACGCUGAUGCACGAAAGUGUGGGUAUCGAACAGGAUUAGAUACCCUAGUAGUC